CUCGAUGUCGGCUCAUCACAUCCUGGGGCUGAAGCAGGUCCCAAGGGUAUGGCUGUUCGCCAUUUAAAGUGGUACGCGAGCUGGGUUUAGAACGUCGUGAGACAGUUCGGUCCCUAUCUACCGUGGGAGUAGGAGUUUUGAGAGGAUCUGCCCUUAGUACGAGAGGACCGGGGUGGACAUUCCUCUGGUGGAGCUGUUGUCACGCCAGUGGCAUUGCAGCGUAGCUAUGAAUGGACAGGAUAACCGCUGAAAGCAUCUAAGCGGGAAACCCCCCUCAAUACUAGAACUCCCUUGAGAGUCGUUGUAGACCACAACGUUGAUAGGCUGGGUGUGGAAGUAUGGCAACAUAUGGAGCUUACCAGUACUAAUAACUCGAUUGGCUUGAUUUUU
rnacentral:rRNA from 1 species